rnacentral:rRNA from 1 species
UACGGGGGGAGCAAGCGUUGUUCGGAUUUACUGGGCGUAAAGGGCGGGUAGGCGGCCACCGCAAGUCAGUUGUGAAACUCUCGUGGCUUAACCCAGAAAGGUCAACUGAUACUGCGGGGCUAGAGUGCAGAAGGGGCAACUGGAAUUCUCGGUGUAGCGGUGAAAUGCGUAGAUAUCGAGAGGAACACCUGCGGCGAAGGCGGGUUGCUGGGCUGACACUGACGCUGAACUGCGAAAGCUAGGGGAGCGAACGGG